UUCACAGAUGAGGAGUUGAUCAAGGAAGUCGACUACCUGAUCCGCAACGGAUGGGUUCCCUGUAUUGAAUUCGCCAAGGUUACAGAAAUAAAUAAAUAAAGUUUUGAUAAAAGGUCACCAAACUAAUAUUUCUGAAUUUAAUCAAUCGGUUUAUUUUACAGGAUGGGUUCAUCACCCGUGAGCACGGUAACACCCCUGGGUACUACGACGGCCGUUACUGGACUAUGUGGAAGCUACCCAUGUUUGGUUGUACCGACGCCACUCAGGUCCUCGCCGAAGUUCAGGAGUGCAAGAAGGCUUACCCGGAAUACUUCGCAAGGAUCAUUGGAUUUGACAACAAACGUCAAGUGCAAUGUGUCAGUUUCAUUGCCCACAAGCCAACAAACUACAAAUAAGAUGGCCGGAUAGAUGUAUAUAUGCUCACCAUCGUCUAUAUAUAUAUCGCCGGAAGGUGAAACAUUCCGUCCGUCCGCCAUCUCAGUGCAUGUCGUGAUUUCUAUCUGUUUUAUUUUAUAUAUAAUGAUAUAUGAUGAUAUUAGAUAUCCUUC
rnacentral:lncRNA from 1 species